CCUGAUGGGAUGGUAAACACCGAGGGGGGAGGGGCGGAGAAUUACCGGCGCAGCACAGGGACCUGACGGACUUUAUGGAAAGUGACAGAUCACAUGUGAUUUAACAAACCUGUAACAUCAACACACUCACUCAGGGCUCAGAUUUCUUCUCCAAUCUCACCGGGACGAUGGAACGAAACGAGUGAGGAAACAUCUGGAAUGACUCUGAGUUUCUCCUCCUACAAACACUUGGCGCUGCAGCGACGAUUAAAGCCUCGUCCUCCCCAGAGACAUGCAGAAACACUCCAGGAACAGUGUGUGUGUGUGUGUGUGUGUGUGUGUGUGUGUGUGUGUGUGUGUGUGUGUGUGUGUUCAUUUCUGUUCCUGUGGAAGCAUUACCUACAAAACUGUGCUGUUUAUAUUCCUUCAGUCAUCAAACACUAAUCCGACAUUCUCUCUCAUUAACACACACAUGCUCUCUCUCUCUCUCUCUCUCUCUCUCUCAUCACACUGUCUUUCCUUCUUUCUUUUGGUUAUUGUAAAGUUCUACAUGAAAGUGCACUAUUGUGCUGAUUUCUUUAAGAAUUUUAUUUCUCUCUCUCCCCUCCCCUUCCCCCCUCUGUAAGUACACUUGUUAUUAACCCCUCGCCCUUGUUGAGUUUUCUUUUUCUUUCUCUCAGAGUUAUUCACCCGAGCUGAGUGUGCUUCUCGUCUGGUUGCACGUCUGCGACUCGUUUAUCCGCUGGUGUUAGCGAGCAUGAGCUAGCAGCGCUAAUGGCCUCCAUUAGCAUUUCAGAAAAUCUCAGAGAGCUGUGUGUGUCACUUCCUGCCGUUACACUCCUCCUGUAAACACUUUAACGCUACAUCCGUCAGACUCUGUAAUGAAUUCUCGCUUAUACACACUGUCAGCACGCUCACUGGAGCUGAAGACGAGUGUGUGUGUGUGUGUGUGUGUGUGUGUGUGUAAUAGAUGCGAGCAACAAAAAGGACUUUUGGCCUCAGUUUUCUAUGGAACGUGUCAAACGUGUCACAUGUAAGUGUAACUGCUGUGCUGUAAUUUUCUUUUUCUAUUUUCUGUGCCUGGUUGCCCAAAACCCAGAGCGACACUUCAGCCUCUAGAACAAAUCUGAAGAAAGUUUUUUCUCUGAGAAGACAAUCCCAUAAUUCCACUCACCAGAGCAGACUUCCAUGGAAGUGUGAAAAACAUGGCAGACAGGAGCGCUGAUUCCCGUAAGGAGGUCAAUCCUGAGAUCGAGAUGCUGAACCUCUUCUGCCCCUCGGACCUGCCUGAUCCAUCCUGGUGCCCUGUGUCUGGUCAGAGUCUCAUCACAUCGCUCCUGUGGAGGACGGCCCCAUGAGGACAGUUGAAAGUCACACCUGGAGGACGCUCUGGACUCUUACAGUAAUGCUUUUAUGGCUGAGGACUACAGUUGACUUGCUAACUUUAGGACUGCAGUCGUCAUGAACAGUUUUGCACUCAAGCUUCCAUCAAUGAAGAGUUUAUAACAUCAACGAAACUGACUUCAUGUUAAAACUGUUAAUGUUAUAGUCAGGCUGUCUGUUAUCACCCAAAUGAGGAUGGGUUCCCUUUUGAGUCUGGUUCCUCUCGAGGUUUCUUCCUCAUGUCGUCUGAGGGAGUUUUUCCUUGCCACCGUCGCCACAGGCUUCAUCAUUGGGGAUAGA